rnacentral:rRNA from 1 species
GAUGAACGCUAGCGGCAGGCCUAACACAUGCAAGUCGAGGGAGAAGCCCUUUCGGGGGCAGAAACCGGCGCACGGGUGCGUAGCGCGUAUGCAACCUACCUUUCACAGGGGGAUAGCCCGAAGAAAUUUGGAUUAAUACCCCAUAAUAUUGUUGGAUGGCAUCAUUUGGCAAUUAAAACUGAGGUGGUGAAAGAUGGGCAUGCGUCCUAUUAGCUAGUUGGAGUGGUAACGGCACCCCAAGGCUACGAUAGGUAGGGGUCCUGAGAGGGAGAUCCCCCACACUGGUACUGAGACAGGGACCAGACUCCUACGGGAGGCAGCAGUGAGGAAUAUUGGUCAAUGGUCGGAAGACUGAACCAGCCAUGCCGCGUGCAGGAAGAAUGCCUUAUGGGUUGUAAACUGCUUUUAUAUGGGAAGAAUAAGGUGUACGUGUACAUUGANGACGGUNCCA